UACGUAGGCAGCAAGCGUUGUUCGGAAUUACUGGGCGUAAAGAGUGUGUAGGCGGUGCUCUAAGUUUGGGUGUGAAAUCUCCCGGCUCAACUGGGAGGGUGCGCCGAAAACUGGAAUGCUUGAACGUGGGAGAGGAAAGCGGAAUUCCUGGUGUAGCGGUGAAAUGCGUAGAUAUCAGGAGGAACACCUGCGGUGUAGACGGCUUUCUGGACCAUUGUUGACGCUGAGACACGAAAGCGUGGGUAGCAAACAGG
rnacentral:rRNA from 1 species